rnacentral:tRNA from 1 species
GGCCAGUUAGCUCAGUUGGUAGAGCAGCGGAUUGAAAAUCCGCGUGUCCUGGUUCGAUUCCGAGACUGGCCACCA